rnacentral:tRNA from 1 species
UUUCGGGCUGGUCGGGCGGGGUUUCGGUGGUUUCGGCCUGCCGCACCUCCUCCGGACGGUUCUGCGCCGUCUCGGAGGG